AAUAAUCUGAGAAAUUUCUUGAAUAUGACAACACAGCUACUGUAUUUAUUGUGGAUGUCCUAAUCGGUUUUCAUUUCAAAUGUAGAUGUGGAGGUCUAAGUUUCAACCAAUCAUCCAGAAAACAGUGUCUCUUCACUUCUCUGUUGACCCAGUAGGGACUGAGAUCAUGUAGCAAGGAGUAUUCUUGGUUUUGGUACCAGACUUGGUUUUACUCUUAACAAGCGUAAGGACAAGUAUAUUGUUUUGUAUUUUUGACGUUUCAGAUCCGAUGUCCUAUUCCUCUCUAUUUUAUCUUUCGUCAUCACGCCAUUUGUUAAUUUCUAUGCAAUUCAAUCUGAUAGAGGUAUGUGGAUUUCUGAAAUUAUCUUUCUGCUUGAAUGGUAUUGCAAUUCUGCUUCCUCCCAUUGAAUAUGUCCUAAAAUUAUUCUAUGGGAUUAGGAUAUUCUGAUGAUAAAGUCAUAUUUGGUUGACUGUAUGAUAUUCUAAAGUCGUUCUAUUUUUAUGGAAACCUGAGAUAGGUUACGAACUUGGAUUUUUCACUAACCAAUACGACAACUUUGGUGAAAAUAACAAACGAUGUAAAAACCUCUUCUAUGGUGUGCAUAUGGACAAUCAAAUCUGAAGAUGAGCUUUUACUGAUGUUGAAUCCUUACCAAAGAGAUAUAUCAGGAGAAUGACUCCUACUGUUGCCUGAUAUGAUAUAUCUUUUCAAUAUUUAAGGCACAACCCAAGCAAUCUUAUGUGUGUUUGGUUUAAAAUCAUGAGGAUUGCCUCUUGGAAUCUUUCAUGUAUUGUUUGGCCUUGUAUUGUAAACGGGAAAAACAGUAGAAUUCAGAAGUGCGACUCAUUUUGUCGACGACUUAAAUAACUAUAUAUCAUUUUGUUCACUCUUCUAAAGUCAGCAUUUAAAUGACUUGAACUCCAUCUCAUUGUUCAGGCUUGGCUACCAUUAAUCUGACAUGAAGACCGAAACAGGAGGUACAGGUUAUUGCGUUUGAUUUCUAGCUUGUAACGUUCUCAACACCCACUCACUUGGAUGGUGAGGCCAUUUUAUACGUGUUCUGGAUGUUAUUUUUCUAUUUUGUACAACUCAUAUUAUAGGUACUUGAGAUAUUGAAUCUACAAUGAGAGAAAUCUGUAUAUCGAAUCUUAUGCAAUUCGAUGUUUGCGUUUAUGCUUAUUGUUU